rnacentral:rRNA from 1 species
CAUGAAGCUGGAAUCGCUAGUAAUCGCAGAUCAGAAUGCUGCGGUGAAUACGUUCCCGGGUCUUGUACACACCGCCCGUCACACCAUGGGAGUCGGAAAUGCCCGAAGUCGGUGACCUAACCGAGAGGGAGGAGCCGCCGAAGGCAGGUUCGGUAACUGGGGUGAAGUCGUAACAAGGUACC